AACAUUCUUGCGCAGAACCUUUACUUCUUCCUAAAACAGGAGUGAAACCUGAGCCAUCUGUCAAGACCCAAGAUAGCGGUGGCUCACGCCUGUAAUCCCAGCACUUUGGGAG